rnacentral:misc_RNA from 1 species
GGAAAUAAAAGUCGUAACAAGGUUUCCGUAGGUGAACCUGCGGAAGGAUCAUUACCAAAAGAUAAUCUUUCAUUCGAAAGAUCUUUUCCUUUGUGCUGGCUUUGACCGUAUGUAAUUUUGGGACUUAAACAUGAUCCGCCUUUACGGUGUAUCGGUCCCAAAAACAAUAUAUCAUCCUUAUUAAAAACUUACUGAACUAAACAAUUGAUUUAAUAAUCUGUUUAAAACAACUUUCAACAACGGAUCUCUUGGUUCUC